UACGAAGGGUGCAAGCGUUACUCGGAAUACUGGGCGUAAGCGUGCGCAGGCGGUGAUGUAAGACAGAUGUGAAAUCCCCGGGCUCAACCUGGGAACUGCAUUUGUGACUGCAUCGCUGGAGUGCGGCAGAGGGGGAUGGAAUUCCGCGUGUAGCAGUGAAAUGCGUAGAUAUGCGGAGGAACACCGAUGGCGAAGGCAAUCCCCUGGGCCUGCACUGGCGCUCAUGCACGAAAGCGUGGGGAGCAAACAGG
rnacentral:rRNA from 1 species